rnacentral:rRNA from 1 species
GACGAACGCUGGCGGCGUGCUUAACACAUGCAAGUCGAACGGAAAGGCCCUGCGUUUGUGGGGUGCUCGUGUGGCGAACGGGUGAGUAACACGUGAGUAACCUGCCCUUGACUUUGGGAUAACUUCAGGAAACUGGGGCUAAUACCGGAUAGGAGCUCCUGCUGCAUGGUGGGGGUUGGAAAGUGUCGGCGGUUGGGGAUGGACUCGCGGCUUAUGAGCUUGAUGGUGGGGUAGGUGCUUACAAAGGCUUCGACGGGUAGCCGGCCUUGGAGGGUGACCAGCCACCUUGGUCCUGCGGUAGGCACCAGUCUCCAACGGGAGGCAGCGGUGGAGAGUAUUACGCAGUGGGCGGAAGCCUGAUGCGGCAACGCCGCGUGCGUGAUGCCGGGCUUCGGGUUAUGAACCGCUUUCGCCUGUGACGAAGCGUGAGUGACGGUAAUGGGUAAAGAAGCACCGGCUAACUACGUG